rnacentral:rRNA from 1 species
GCUUGUUGGUGGGGUAACGGCCUACCAAGGCGACGACGGCUAGCUGGUCUGAGAGGAUGAUCAGCCACACUGGGACUGAGACACGGCCCAGACUCCUACGGGAGGCAGCAGUGGGGAAUAUUGGACAAUGGGCGAAAGCCUGAUCCAGCAAUGCCGCGUGAGUGAUGAAGGCCUUAGGGUUGUAAAGCUCUUUUACCCGGGAUGAUAAUGACAGUACCGGGAGAAUAAGCUCCGGCUAACUUCGUGCCAGCAGCCGCGGUAAUA